rnacentral:rRNA from 1 species
GAUGAACGCUGGCGGCGUGCUUAACACAUGCAAGUCGAACGAGAAAUGGAGACGGAAACCUUCGGGCGGAAGGCUUCAUUUCGAGUGGCGGACGGGUGAGUAACGCGUGGGUAACCUGCCUCAUACAGGGGGAUAACAGUUGGAAACGACUGUUAAUACCGCAUAAGACCACAGCACCGCAUGGUGCGGGGGUAAAAACUCGGGUGGUAUGAGAUGGAUCCGCUUUCGAUUAGCCAGUUGGCGGGGUAACGGCCCACCAAAGCGACGAUCGAUAGCCGGUCUGAGAGGAUGACCGGCCACAUUUGGACUGAGACGCGGCCCAGACUCCUACGGGAGGCAGCAGUGGGGAAUAUAGCAAAAUGGGGGAAACCAUGAUGCAGCGACGCCGCGUGAGUGAAGAAGUACUUCGGUAUGUAAAGCUCUAUAAGCAGGGAAGAAAAUGACGGUACCUGAGUAAGAAGCACCGGCUAACUACGUG